UGGGGAAUUUUGGACAAUGGGCGCAAGCCUGAUCCAGCCAUGCCGCGUGCGGGAAGAAGGCCUUCGGGUUGUAAACCGCUUUUGUCGGGGAAGAAAUCUCUCGGGCUAAUACCUCGGGGGGAUGACGGUACCCGAAGAAUAAGCACCGGCUAACUACGUGCCAGCAGCCGCGGUAAUACGUAGGGUGCGAGCGUUAAUCGGAAUUACUGGGCGUAAAGCGUGCGCAGGCGGUCGUGCGAGACAGAUGUGAAAUCCCCGGGCUCAACCUGGGAACUGCAUUUGUGACUGCACGGCUGGAGUACGGCAGAGGGGGAUGGAAUUCCGCGUGUAGCAGUGAAAUGCGUAGAUAUGCGGAGGAACACCGAUGGCGAAGGCAGUCCCCUGGGCCUGUACUGACGCUCAUGCACGAAAGCGUGGGGAGCAAACA
rnacentral:rRNA from 1 species